rnacentral:piRNA from 1 species
UGAAGAUGGCACACACACACUGGCACAGC